rnacentral:lncRNA from 1 species
CGCAAAGAACCAAAGUUUCAGGUGGAAUCUGGCCAGAAACCCUCCGUGCCGGUGCCAGCUCAGUCUACCUGGUUGAUACAGACGCAGGUAGUCCCUAUGACUGCUCUCCCUACCUCAGGUAUAAAUCUCAGGCACAGCACACUCCACAAGGGGAUGGCAUGUUCAGCUAUGUAAAAACUCAUUUCCCUGAAAAGCCACUUGGAGCGGAAGAGUCCUUUGCCAGAGUGUCACCCUGCUCCGUGUGUUGGAGGAAGGCCCGUCCACCCGGCUCAGACCCAGAUGGUUUGCAGAUGUCGCUGGAGACACAGGAGGGUGGGGCUCCGAUGAAUGUCAGUGUAGCUGUCUAUGGGACUCCAAGGGAAGUGCAUCUGAGAGUCCAGUCUCCUUCUGGAGAUGCAGGGAUCGGUCAAGUCCAGCAGCUUAGUAUGGGCUCCAUAGACGUCGGCACCUCUGAGCCCCAUGGCGAAGACCAGGGAGAGUCGUCAGAGGCAUGUGACAUCAUAUUGUCUGCAGCCAUGGUGAAUAACCGGCAGUCUGUGCCGAGUUCCAGCUACAGCCCUUUUCAGGUAACAGCCAGGCAAGGUCCCGGUGAAUAUUCUUUGGUUGUCACUGGCGUGGAUGAUGUGAACUCUACCAAUGAGGGAGGAAAUGAAGAACGCUCCCAGGAGGCCUUCUGCAGGGAUCAGGGGCUCAACACUGACCGGGACCAAUCUGAGAAGCUUCUUGCAGAAAGGAGCAGCAGGGAAUUGCAGAACUGUGGGGAAAGCAGCCAGGUGCAGGACAGGAGACUCGCACAGGAUCCAGAGAACAACUUCUCGCAUUUGGAGAUGAAGGAGAGAAGUUCUCAGCUGCUGUGUAAUAGGCGACGACUAACCAGGUGUUUCCAAGCCUGGAGCAGCCACAUCCUGAGGAAGAGGACUGCAGCUAGGGAGCUCUACAGGCAGCAGCUGCUUCGCAAGGGGCUUGGGGCCCUCCAGUGGGCAGUGCAGCUGAGGAAGGUGCAGAUGGAGAUUGCCCAGCGGAGAC